AUACGUAGGGUGCAAGCGUUAAUCGGAAUUACUGGGCGUAAAGCGUGCGCAGGCGGUUUUGUAAGACAGUGGUGAAAUCCCCGGGCUCAACCUGGGAACUGCCAUUGUUACUGCAAGGCUGGAGUGCGGCAGAGGGGGAUGGAAUUCCGCGUGUAGCAGUGAAAUGCGUAGAUAUGCGGAGGAACACCGAUGGCGAAGGCAAUCCCCUGGGCCUGCACGGACGCUCAUGCACGAAAGCGUGGGGAGCAAACAGGAUUAGAUACCCUGGUAGUCCACGCCCUAAACGAUGUCAACUGGUUGUUGGGGAUUUAUUUUCUCAGUAACGAAGCUAACGCGUGAAGUUGACCGCCUGGGGAGUACGGCCGCAAGGUUAAAACUCAAAUGAAUUGACGGGG
rnacentral:rRNA from 1 species